GACGAACGCUGGCGGCGUGCUUAACACAUGCAAGUCGAACGAUGAAGCCGGAGCUUGCUCUGGUGAAUUAGUGGCGAACGGGUGAGUAUCACGUGAGUAACCUGCCCUUGACUCUGGGAUAACUGCGGGAAACUGUAGCUAAUACCGGAUACGACCCUCGGAGGCAUCUCCUGGGGGUGGAAAGAAUUUCGGUCAAGGAUGGACUCGCGGCCUAUCAGCUAGUUGGUGAGGUAAAGGCUCACCAAGGCGACGACGGGUAGCCGGCCUGAGAGGGUGACCGGCCACACUGGGACGGAGACACGGCCCAGACUCCGACGGGAGGCAGCAGUGGGGAAUAGUGAACAAUGGGCGCAAGCCUGAUGCAGCAACGCCGCGUGAGGGAUGACGGCCUUCGGGUUGUAAACCUCUUUUAGCAGGGAAGAAGCGAAAGUGACGGUACCUGCAGAAAAAGCACCGGCUAACUACGUGCCAGCCGCCGCAGUAA
rnacentral:rRNA from 1 species